rnacentral:rRNA from 1 species
AUUGAACGCUGGCGGCAUGCUUUACACAUGCCAGUCGAACGGCAGCGCGGGCUUCGGCCUGGCGGCGGGUGGCGAACGGGUGGGUAAUGCAGCGGAACGUGCCCAGUAGUGGGGUAUAGGCCGGCGAAAGCCGGAUUAAUACCCCAUACGACCUUAGGGUGAAAGGGGGAGACCGAAAGACCUCGCGCCAUUGGGCGGGCCGAUGUCGGAUUAGCUAGUUGGUGGGGUAAAGGCUUACCAAGGCGACGAUCCGUAGCUGGUCUGAGAGGACGACCAGCCACACUGGGACUGAGACACGGCCCAGACUCCUACGGGAGGCAGCAGUGGGGAAUUUUGGACAAUGGGCGCAAGCCUGAUCCAGCCAUGCCGCGUGCGGGAAGAAGGCCUUCGGGUUGUAAACCGCUUUUGUUCGGGAAGAAAUCCUCUGGGCUAAUACCCCGGGGGGAUGACGGUACCGGAAGAAUAAGCACCGGCUAACUACGUG